rnacentral:rRNA from 1 species
AUGAUGAAAUUGCUGGAGUUCAAUUUCAAAAUUCAGUACAAAAAGGGUGUACAAAACAAGGUUGCAGAUGCCCUCUCCAGGUUGCUACCUUCCUGCAUGGCCAUAUCCGUGGCUACUCCAGUAUGGGCACAAGAACUGGUAGACAGUUAUCAGGAAGAUCCUGUAACUAAAACUCUCUUGGAACAACUGCUGUUGCAACAAGGUCACACCAGGUCUGAUUAUAGUUUAACUGCUGGUAUUAUCAGAUACAAGGGAAGGAUCAUGGUGGGUGAUGUGGCUGACUUGAGAACAAGACUUCUUACUGCUUUGCAUAGCUCUCCAGUAGGUGGACAUUCAGGAACAAGAGCUACUUAUCAGAGGGUCAAAAGUAUAUUCUACUGGCCAGGGUUAAAAGCAGCUGUGGAACAUUUUAUUGCUGCAUGCCCUGUUUGCCAGAGGGCAAAGCAUGAGACCUGCCUGCAACCUGGUUUAUUGGAACCUCUCCCUAUGGCUGACAUGGCUUGGCAACAUAUAUCCAUGGAUUUCAUAGAAGGGCUACCUAACUCUCAAGGCAAGGAGGUCAUCUUGGUAGUAGUAGACAGAUUCACCAGAUAUGCACACUUCAUUCCACUGUCCCACCCAUAUACAGUAUUGAGUGUGGCACAAGCAUUUGUAGAUAAUAUUAUCAGACUACAUGGACCACCCAAACUGAUCAUCUCAGACAGAGACAAAAUCUUCACUAGUAAAUUGUGGAAAGAUAUCUUUGCUGCCCUGAAUAGUGAGUUGAGGUACAGCACUGCCUAUCAUCCACAAACAGAUGGCCUAACAGAAAGAAUCAACCAGUGUGUGGAAACAUACCUGAGAUGCAUGACCACUGAUCAACCCAAGAAAUGGUCUUCCUGGCUAUCUCUAGCAGAAUUCUGGUAUAACACUACUUACCAUACUGCACUGAAGAUGUCCCCCUUUCAGGCAUUAUAUGGCUUUCCUCCACCACUAAUCUCUGAGUUAGCUAUUCCUGGCCCUGAGGAUGAAGAAGCACAGUCCUUCUUAGGGGAGAAACAACUAAUGUUGGAACAAUUAAAGUCCAAUCUACAACAAGCUCAAAACAGGAUGAAGAAAUAUGCAGAUAUGAAGAGAAGUGAAAGAGUUUUUGAAGUGGGGGAUAUGGUGUACUUGAAAAUGGCACCUUACAGGCUUGCUGCAUUUGGCUUUCGUGGAGCUUUGAAAUUACAAAACAAGUUCUAUGGUCCCUUUGUGAUCACUCAGAAAGUGGGCAAGGUGGCUUACAAGUUGCAAUUCCCUGAUCAUGUGAAAAUUCACCCUGUUUUUCAUGUAAGCUAG